ensembl:snoRNA
CUGGCCCUGAAUCAAGGCCGGCAGCUUCCUGACGCUGUUGGUUUCAAGCAGGUGCCUAAAGAGACGUUUUUCUAUGGUCUGCCGGCCAUUUUAGAACUUGGGCGGUUAAAUGGCCAGUUCAUUAGAAACAGCUUGA